rnacentral:rRNA from 1 species
UGAGGAAUAUUGGUCAAUGGGCGAGAGCCUGAACCAGCCAAGUAGCGUGCAGGAUGACGGCCCUAUGGGUUGUAAACUGCUUUUAUGUGGGGAUAAAGUGCGUGACGUGUCAUGCAUUGCAGGUACCACAUGAAUAAGGACCGGCUAAUUCCGUGCCAGCAGCCGCGGUAAUACGGAAGGUCCGGGCGUUAUCCGGCUUUAUUGGGUUUAAAGGGAGCGUAGGCUGUCUAUUAAGCGUGUUGUGAAAUAUACCGGCUCAACCGGUGGCUUGCAGCGCGAACUGGUCGACUUGAGUAUGCAGGAAGUAGGCGGAAUUCAUGGUGUAGCGGUGAAAUGCUUAGAUAUCAUGACGAACUCCGAUUGCGCAGGCAGCUUACUGUAGCAUAACUGACGCUGAUGCUCGAAAGUGCGGGUAUCAAACAGG